GGAAUAUUGCGCAAUGGAGGAAACUCUGACGCAGUGACGCCGCGUGCAGGAAGAAGGUUUUCGGAUUGUAAACUGCUUUAGACAGGGAAGAAAAAGACAGUACCUGUAGAAUAAGCUCCGGCUAACUACGUGCCAGCAGCCGCGGUAAUACGUAGGGAGCGAGCGUUAUCCGGAUUUAUUGGGUGUAAAGGGUGCGUAGACGGGAAGUUAAGUUAGUUGUGAAAUCCCCAGGCUCAACUUGGGAACUGCAACUAAAACUGGCAUUCUUGAGUGUCGGAGAGGAAAGUGGAAUUCCUAGUGUAGCGGUGAAAUGCGUAGAUAUUAGGAGGAACACCAGUGGCGAAGGCGACUUUCUGGACGAUAACUGACGUUGAGGCACGAAAGUGUGGGGAGCAAACA
rnacentral:rRNA from 1 species